rnacentral:lncRNA from 1 species
CUGGACUGGACCUUGGCGUUGGGCCGCAGUUGCCCGGAGUUUUUGGGGCCCCCGGGAACCCGCGCGCCGAGGCCGGCUAAGUUUGGCAGACUCUCUGAGCUCUCGGAAUUCGACUGCCUCCAUUGUUGCUCCUUCUGGCACCCACAGACCGUAACGUGGCCGUAAUUGUUUCCCGGAGAGCUUAGCUUCCCUCUGAGCACCUCCCUCCCCUUUUUAAAGUACCUUCCCACUCGCCUGCGUUUCCUCGCGUUAGUGGUGCAGGGGCCUCCGCAUUUGGGGAAAUAACAAACACCCACUUCCGCCCCCCACCCCAACCGGGAUCCCCAGAUAAUGAGAAAUAGAUGGUGGCCCUCUGUUUGUAAGCUGUUCAUUUGCAUAGGUCGGAACCGCGCACCACAGCUUGAAGCUAGGAAUUAAAAUAUCGGUGGGAAUUAAAUAAGUGGCUGGCUUAAAGAACAUCUUCUUAAUUUAUCCCCAAAUGUAGACAUCUCUUCAGUGGACCCCCUGAUAGGCCGGUUUGCUCCAGGUUGGAGCUGAAGGAGUGCCCAGGCUGCGGAUGGAGGAAGGACGUGCUCGGGAGAAGGUGAAGAUGGGAGAGAAGCAAGAUCUUCUGUGUUUGGACCAAGGACACAUUUCCUUACUCCAUAGCAGCUGUGGUCAGUGGCUUAGCUCGGACAAGGAGAUGAGAGCCCAUGUGUUGUGAGGGUUCUUCUGGGAACUCUGAGAAGGCAGGAGCCGCCCCCGCCCUUCACUGCCUCUCUUCCAUUCUGCAGCAUGGAAUAUGGAUGUGUGGUCUGGAUGUACAGACACCAUUUUGGACCAUAAAGACAAGGACGAUUGUCUAAGGAUGACACAGCCAGAGCACUGAGAGUGGCGAGAAGGACAGGGGAGCUGCUGUGCCAAGCAGGACUGUCUCUCUUAAGAGAAAAAUAAAAUUUAUUGGUGUU